AUGGGAGGAAACAAGAAUCAAAGAAAAUCAAAGUCAUCAUGGUCUGUAUUUAACAUUUUCAAAUCUAACAACAGUAACAAACAAAGAGAAGAAGGAUACUAUGAUCAUGGUGCUUAUGGUAACAAAGUGUGGCCAAGUGAUGAAGACAAAGGUAGUUGGGGUGUAGCUGAUCCUGUCAUUGAUAUGAGAGCUACAGCUUUCAUUGCUCAAUACAGGAAACGAAUUUCUGACUCUGAAAUUCAUCACUGGCAACCUCAACCUGACCAGUAG